AUACAUGCAGUCGAACGAACUUCCGUUAAUUGAUUAUGACGUACUUGUACUGAUUGAGAUUUUAACACGAAGUGAGUGGCGAACGGGUGAGUAACACGUGGGUAACCUGCCCAGAAGUAGGGGAUAACACCUGGAAACAGAUGCUAAUACCGUAUAACAGAGAAAACCGCAUGGUUUUCUUUUAAAAGAUGGCUCUGCUAUCACUUCUGGAUGGACCCGCGGCGUAUUAGCUAGUUGGUGAGGUAAAGGCUCACCAAGGCAGUGAUACGUAGCCGACCUGAGAGGGUAAUCGGCCACAUUGGGACUGAGACACGGCCCAGACUCCUACGGGAGGCAGCAGUAGGGAAUCUUCCACAAUGGACGCAAGUCUGAUGGAGCAACGCCGCGUGAGUGAAGAAGGGUUUCGGCUCGUAAAGCUCUGUUGUUAAAGAAGAACGUGGGUAAGAGUAACUGUUUACCCAGUGACGGUAUUUAACCAGAAAGCCACGGCUAACUACGUGCCAGCAGCCGCGGUAAUACGUAGGUGGCAAGCGUUAUCCGGAUUUAUUGGGCGUAAAGCGAGCGCAGGCGGUCUUUUAAGUCUAAUGUGAAAGCCUUCGGCUCAACCGAAGAAGUGCAUUGGAAACUGGGAGACUUGAGUGCAGAAGAGGACAGUGGAACUCCAUGUGUAGCGGUGAAAUGCGUAGAUAUAUGGAAGAACACCAGUGGCGAAGGCGGCUGUCUGGUCUGCAACUGACGCUGAGGCUCGAAAGCAUGGGUAGCGAACAGGAUUAGAUACCCUGGUAGUCCAUGCCGUAAACGAUGAUUACUAAGUGUUGGAGGGUUUCCGCCCUUCAGUGCUGCAGCUAACGCAUUAAGUAAUCCGCCUGGGGAGUACGACCGCAAGGUUGAAACUCAAAAGAAUUGAC
rnacentral:rRNA from 1 species